AUAUGCCCUUACUUUUGUUGGUUUUUAAACAAAAUGGAUGCUAGAGCUGUUAAUUAGCUGGUGGGUGUGAUUUUUACUGUUGCUCUUCAGCUGAUAGAAAUUGCAAAUGCCUGUUUGUGCUUUCUGCUUCUGCAAAGCCCUGGGCAUUCCAUUUUGCUGUCCUUGCACCAGCCCAAAGAUCUUCCAGCAGAUGCAGCACAGAGAAAUUUGCAUUCCUCCUCUCCUUUACGUUCCUGUGGCACUGAGGGGCUCUUGUUUUGAAGAAGUCAAAGAAGUCAAGUUGCUGACUUGAGAUAUUUAUUGUCACAAAGGAGGUUCUUGCAACAAGACAGCCCUUUCCAGCAGCUCCUCUACUGAAAGUAGUGAAAGAAGUUAUACAACAAUCAAGACUUCUGCAAAACUAGAGGUUCUUUUUGGCUGGAACCACAAGGGAGUGAAGAAGCUCAACUCAGAGCAAAGCAUUUUGGCAGCAUCAGCAUAAAAUCCAAAUAUACCUUCUAACUUGCCAUUCUAGGUUUUAGAAAAAGCAUCUGGCAAUAAAUCUUACCUGUAUUGAAUGGGAAUUUUGUUGUGCCUGCUCUGCUUACACCAAGGGGCACAAUGUU